GACAGAGGGUGCAAACGUUGUUCGGAAUUACUGGGCGUAAAGCGCGCGCAGGCGGCUUGGUCAGUCCGGGGUGAAAUCUCACGGCUCAACUGUGAGCGGUCCCCGGAUACUGCCAGUCUCGAGGUGUCUAGAGGAGAGCGGAAUUCCCGGUGUAGUGGUGGAAUGCGUAGAUAUCGGGAAGAACACCAGUGGCGAAAGCGGCUCUCUGGGGAGCACCUGACGCUGAGGCGCGAAAGCGUGGGGAGCGAACCGG
rnacentral:rRNA from 1 species